UAUAUAUACAUUUAUGUAUGUAUCUAUAUGAACAGAAUACUUGCGUAUUUUAAGUAUGCAUUUAUUUCAUACACAAUUAUGUGUUUGGUAGCAAAAGAACGCCAUCAUAUUAGUGGCACAAAUUAAGACAUGAGAUAUGAGUUCAGCUUUGACAAAAAAUUUCAACAUAUGAAAAUUGAAGAAAAACUUUUUAAAUAGCAUUUUAUACUGUUUAUUAAUAUAAUGAGAUAAGAUUUUGAAUUUAACUUGAGAAAAAGAUUUUUUGGACUUGGUGAAUUUUUUAUUGAACUGCAGCCAUAUGAUAUGAGGUUCUACCGAGAGAUGAGUUCAACUUUGACAAAAAAUUUCAACAUAUGAAAAUUGAAGAAAAACCUUUUUAAUUAUCAUUUUAAACAGUUUAUUAAUAUAAUGAGAUAAGAUUUUGAAUUUAACUUGAGAAAAAGAUUUUUUGGACUUGGUGAAUUUUUUAUUGAACUUCAGCCAUAUGAUAUGAGGUUCUACCGAGAUAUGAGUUCAACAUUGAAAAAAAUUUCAACAUAUGAAAAUUGAAGAAAAAACUUUUUAAAUAUCAUUUUAUACAGUUUAUUAAUAUAAUGAGAUACGAUUUUGAAUUUAACUUGAGAAAAAAAUUUUUUGGACUUGGUGAAUUUUUUAUUGAACUGCAGCCAUAUGAUAUGAGGUUCUACCGAGAUAUGAGUUCAACUUUGACAAAAAAUUUCAACAUAUGAAAAUUGAAGAAAAAACUUUUUAUAUAUAUCAUUUUAUAUAGUUUUUUAAUAAAAUGAAUUAAGAUUUUGAAUUUAACUUGAGAAAAAAAUUUUUUGGACUUGGUAAAUUUUUUGGACUUGGUAAAUUUUUUAUUGAACUUCAGCCAUAUGAUAUGAGGUUCUACCGAAAUAUGAGUUCAACUUUGACAAAAAAUUUCAACAUAUGAAAAUUGAAGAAAAAACUUUUUAAAUAGCAUUUUAUACUGUUUAUUAAUAUAAUGAGAUAAGAUUUUUAAUUUAACUUGAGAAAAAAAUUUUUUGGACUUGGUGAAUUUUUUAUUGAACUACAGCCAUAUGAUAUGAGGUUCUACCGAGAUAUGAGUUCAACUUUGACAAAAAAUUUCAACAUAUGAAAAUUGUAGAAAAAACUUUUUAUAUAUCAUUUUAUACAGUUUUUUAAUAAAAUGAGAUAAGAUUUUGAAUUUAACUUGAGAAAAAAAUUUUUUGGACUUGGUGAAUUUUUUAUUGAACUGCAGCCAUAUGAUAUAAGGUUCUACCGAGAUAUGAGUUCAACUUUGACAAAAAAUUUUAAACAAUGUUAAACAAUUUACGAUUGUACUAGUAUUUAAUACAAAUUAUUGAUAACAAAAUAAUGAAGUUUUGCUGUUGUAUUAUUAAAAUAG